UGGGGAAUAUUGCACAAUGGGCGCAAGCCUGAUGCAGCCAUGCCGCGUGUAUGAAGAAGGCCUUCGGGUUGUAAAGUACCUUCAGCGGGGAGGAAGGGAGUAAAGUUAAUACCUUUGCUCAUUGACGUUACCCGCAGAAGAAGCACCGGCUAACUCCGUGCCAGCAGCCGCGGUAAUACGGAGGGUGCAAGCGUUAAUCGGAAUUACUGGGCGUAAAGCGCACGCAGGCGGUUUGUUAAGUCAGAUGUGAAAUCCCCGGGCUCAACCUGGGAACUGCAUCUGAUACUGGCAAGCUUGAGUCUCGUAGAGGGGGGUAGAAUUCCAGGUGUAGCGGUGAAAUGCGUAGAGAGCUGGAGGAAUACCGGUGGCGAAGGCGGCCCCCUGGACGAAGACUGACGCUCAGGUGCGAAAGCGUGGGGAGCAAACAGG
rnacentral:rRNA from 1 species